rnacentral:rRNA from 1 species
UGGGCAACCUGCCCUCAGCACUGGGAUAACCCCGGGGAAACCGGGGCUAAUACCGGAUACGACCUCGGCGGGCAUCCGCUGAGGUGGAAAGUGUCAGUGGCUGAGGAUGGGCCCGCGGCCUAUCAGCUUGUUGGUGGGGUAACGCCUACCAAGGCGACGACGGGUAGCCGGCCUGAGAGGGCGACCGGCCACACUGGGACUGAGACACGGCCCAGACUCCGUACGGGAGGCA